CCCUUAGAUGUUCUGGGCUGCACGCGCGCUACACUGACACACUCAGCGAGUCACCUGAUCUGAGAAGACCGGGCAAUCAUGUGAGCGUGUGUCGUGAUGGGGAUAGAAUAUUGUAAUUAUUACUCUUCAACGAGGAAUUCCUAGUAAGCGCGAGUCAGCAGCUCGCGCUGAUUACGUCCCUGCCCUUUGUACACACCGCCUGUCGCUCCUACCUAGGGGGUGAUCCGGUGAAUGAUUCGGACUUUGGCAUUGCUAUGUUUCAUAGCAUUGCUGGGGGAAGUCUUGUGAACCUUAUCACUUGGAGGAAGGAGAAGUCGUAACA
rnacentral:rRNA from 1 species